UACAGAGGUCCCAAGCGUUUGUUCGGAUUCACUGGGCGUAAAGGGUGCGUAGGUGGUGAGGUAAGUCGGAUGUGAAAUCUCCAGGCUCAACCUGGAAAUGGCAUUGGAAACUACCUUGCUAGAGGGUUUGAGGGGGGACUGGAAUACUUGGUGUAGCAGUGAAAUGCGUAGAUAUCAAGUGGAACACCAGUGGCGAAGGCGAGUCCCUGGAAAAUACCUGACACUGAGGCACGAAAGCUAGGGGAGCAAACGGG
rnacentral:rRNA from 1 species